GAUGAACGCUGGCGGCGUGCCUAAUACAUGCAAGUCGAGCGAACGGACGAGAAACUUGCUUCUCUGAUGUUAGCGGCGGACGGGUGAGUAACACGUGGAUAACCUACCUAUAAGACUGGGAUAACUUCGGGAAACCGGAGCUAAUACCGGAUAAUAUUUUGAACCGCAUGGUUCAAAAGUAAAAGACGGUCUUGCUGUCACUUAUAGAUGGAUCCGCGCUGCAUUAGCUAGUUGGUAAGGUAACGGCUUACCAAGGCAACGAUGCAUAGCCGACCUGAGAGGGUGAUCGGCCACACUGGAACUGAGACACGGUCCAGACUCCUACGGGAGGCAGCAGUAGGGAAUCUUCCGCAAUGGGCGAAAGCCUGACGGAGCAACGCCGCGUGAGUGAUGAAGGUCUUCGGAUCGUAAAACUCUGUUAUUAGGGAAGAACAUAUGUGUAAGUAACUGUGCACAUCUUGACGGUACCUAAUCAGAAAGCCACGGCUAACUACGUG
rnacentral:rRNA from 1 species